AGCCUCCCAAAGUGCUGGGAUUACAGGUGUGAGGCGCCAUGCCCAGCUACAAAUGUUUGUGUUCCUUUUCCACUCCCAGUGCUUCACUUGACUAGCCAAAA
rnacentral:Y_RNA from 1 species